CCAAAUCAGCCCCACUCCUCUGGAGUGCCAUCUAAUUUUGGUCCUGAUCUCUGUCACAUUAAAGCGCAUCUUACCAUUAAAUUAUAUCGCAAACGUUACUCGCAUAUAAACUGCGGGUUAAGGAUGGGCGAGAUCUGGACGCCCGACAACACUCGCCGACCAUUUAUCGGCAAUACUAGGCCUUGUCGUCAUUUUUAUGAGCGCGAUUACGAGGACGAAGUCCUAACCGCUAUUCCACGCUGAUAACGAAGACGUAUUUAGGGGCUCUGGUGACUCCCCCUUCCGACUGCAGCCCCCCAGAGCCCAGUCAAAAGCUGUGCAACUUUUGAAGAUAAGAGGGGGAACAGAGAGACUGACAGGCUGAGCCGUAGUCACAGCGAGGGGAAACGAGGUGUGGAGAGCAUCUAAUCACUGAUUGACGUCGAACGCAUUCAUAUAUCAUAUCGCAGUUAGUAUCAUUGUUAUCAGCACUUGGAGAAUCGUAGCGAUUAACAGAAGCAUUAUUGUUAUAAUAAAUGAAUUUUGU